ACUCAAAGGAAUAGACGGGGGCCCGCACAAGCGGAGGAGCAUGUGGUUUAAUUCGAUGAUACGCGAGGAACCUUACCCGGGCUUGAAAGUUAGUGACCGAUCCUGAAAGGGAUCUUCCCGCAAGGGCACGAAACUAGGUGCUGCAUGGCUGUCGUCAGCUCGUGCCGUGAGGUGUUGGGUUAAGUCCCGUAACGAGCGCAACCCCUAUCGUUAGUUGCCAUCAGGUUAAGCUGGGAACUCUAAUGAGACUGCCCGCGCAAGCGGUGAGGAAGGUGGGGAUGACGUCAAGUCAGCACGGCCCUUACGUCCGGGGCUACACACGUGCUACAAUGGAUGGUACAGAGGGACGCUACUAGGUGACUAGAUGCAAAUCUUCAAAGCCAUUCUCAGUUCGGAUCGAAGUCUGCAACUCGACUUCGUGAAGCUGGAUUCGCUAGUAAUCGGAUAUCAGCAAUGAUCCGGUGAAUACGUUCCCGGGCCUUGUACACACCGCCCGU
rnacentral:rRNA from 1 species